rnacentral:rRNA from 1 species
AUUGAACGCUGGCGGAAUGCUUUACACAUGCAAGUCGAACGGCAGCACGGACUUCGGUCUGGUGGCGAGUGGCGAACGGGUGAGUAAUGAAUCGGAACGUGCCCAGUCGUGGGGGAUAACGUAGUGAAAAUUACGCUAAUACCGCAUACGAUCUAUGGAUGAAAGCGGGGGAUCGCAAGACCUCGCGCGAUUGGAGCGGCCGAUAUCCGAUUAGGUAGUUGGUGGGGUAAAGGCCCACCAAGCCAACGAUCUGUAGCUGGUCUGAGAGGACGACCAGCCACACUGGAAAUGAGACACGGUCCAGACUCCUACGGGAGGCAGCAGUGGGGAAUUUUGGACAAUGGGCGAAAGCCUGAUCCAGCCAUUCCGCGUGCAGGAUGAAGGCCCUCGGGUUGUAAACUGCUUUUGUACAGAACGAAAAGGUUUCUACUAAUACUAGGAGCUCAUGACGGUACUGUAAGAAUAAGCACCGGCUAACAACGUGCCAGCCGCCGCCGUAA